GAUGAACGCUGACAGAAUGCUUAACACAUGCAAGUCUUUGGCGAAGCUGUGCUUGCACAGCCUAGCCAAGGCGGACGGGUGAGUAACGCGUAAGGAACUUGCCCUGCAGUCAGGGAUAACAGACGGAAACGACUGAUAAGACCUGGUAAAGUCAGGCGGACUCAUGUCCAGCCUGAUGAAAAGAGAUGCUGCAGGAGAGCCUUGCGUCCUAUUAGCUUGUUGGUGGGGUAACGGCCCACCAAGGCGAUGAUAGGUAGCCGGCCUGAGAGGGUGGACGGCCACAAGGGGACUGGGAUACGGCCCUUACUCCUACGGGAGGCAGCAGUGGGGAAUAUUGGACAAUGGGGGCAACCCUGAUCCAGCAAUUCUGUGUGCACGAUGAAGGUUUUCGGAUUGUAAAGUGCUUUCAGCAGGGAAGAAAAAAAUGACGGUACCUGCAGAAGAAGCGACGGCUAAAUACGUG
rnacentral:rRNA from 1 species